rnacentral:rRNA from 1 species
AUUGAACGCUAGCGGCAUGCCUUACACAUGCAAGUCGAACGGAGUGGCGAACGGGGGAGUAAUGCAUAGGACCGUGCCCAGUAGCGGGGGAUAACUACGCGGAAGCGUAGCUAAUACCGCAGACGAUUGGAGCGGCCGAUAUCGGAUUUGCUAGUUGGUGGGGUAACGGAUCACCAGGGCGAGUAUCCGUCGCUGGUUUGAGAGGACGACCAGCCCACCUGGGACGGGGCCACGUCCCAGACGCCUACGGGCGGCGGCAGUGGGGAAUUGUGGGCAAUGGGGGAAGCCCUGAGCCAGACAGACCGCGUGUGUGAUGAAGGCCUUCGGGUUGUAAAGCACUUUUGGCAGGAAAGCGGUACCUGCAGAAUAAGCACCGGCUAACUACGUGCCAGCAGCCGCGGUAAUAC